AUUGUAACUCACAGGCAACAAAUGGAACAAACACGGGAACAGCUGCAGCAGGCAGAGCUCACCUUUAGAUACCAGUUCAUGAGAAGAAUGCUCAGGACAACGAGACUGGACGGGAUGGAACCAAAGAGGCUGCCUGAGGGAUACACGAGGCAGAAACCAAUCACUGCAAGAACCCUCCAAGGAGAGGGCAGUCUGGAUCCUGGGGACCUCCUCCGUUAACUGGACGAUUCUGCAUGCCCUACCCUGGAGACACCCCGCCCCCAUGGGCUAUUAGGCACGUCCACCUCGUGAACCUUAGUGGCCCUGAGGCCACCCGGAAUCCCUCCACCUGCAACACUUGAAUUUCAGCUCAUUUUUCCAGAGGACACACUUACCCUCCAAAGUGUACUGCACUUAAGCUGAGAAGUACCUCCGAACUAAAAUAAAUUAGCUGAACCCAACUAACAUGCUAUUUUGUAUGCAAGAGUCCUGGUCCUUUCCCAGGAUUGCCUUGCAGGCUGUACCCCGCGGACCACCCUUCACCACCAGUCAUGGGCUAUAGGCCACAUCCCCCUCCUCCAUCUACUCUAUUUGUUAAGAGGACCUGAACUGGCUGAGUGGCUGGACAACUCUGUUGAAAUUUGAAGAGGACUGUGCACGGUGACAGACAAUCGUGUUUGUAUAUAUUUUAAGAAGGUGUCCGAUCUACCUGAAUGCUUUCCCUGCCCAUCCUGUCCCCUCCACUUUGUCCUUCCUACUGUCCCCUAAUCUACCUUUCAUUGUUUUGUCUCUGUGUCAGCGUCUGCUUCUAGGGCCAUCUACUCUCGCUCCCCAUUGAGUGCACACAGGGGGGUUCCUGUACACACAGGUAACAAAGUGCCACAAAUGGUGGUGAGGGAGGAUAGAAGCAAGAUCACACUUUGUGCAGGGGAGCCUGAGGGAGUUUUCCGGGGCGAUGGGAACUCCCUAUAUCUAGAUUGAUGGGGUGCAUAUGCUCAAUUAUUUUGGAAAUAUCCCCUGACUCCAUGGUGCCUUGGGAUCAGACAGGUAUCUGUCCUUAGGAAAUGGCUGAGAUCUAAUGGUGGAGAAGGAUGAGGGACCAGCAGUGACUGUCGAGAGGAGUGAGGGUCAGACCCACGCCCAGGGUGCCAGGUCCCCACAGACAGCACCACGUGUAGGAGGGCUCUGAGGAGCAGAGAUUUCUUGAUCAGACCCAUGAACUACAUAAUCCUCCUGUAGUUUCCUCACUGAGCGAUGGCUAGAGCAGAGGCCAGCAGCUGGAGGACACCCUGAUCAUGGCUGGAGUGGAGCAGUGGGCCUGGGGGAUUGAGUCAGGGAAAGGGAC